rnacentral:rRNA from 1 species
UAGUGGCGAACGGGUGAGUAACACGUGGGCAAUCUGCCCUUCACUCUGGGACAAGCCCUGGAAACGGGGUCUAAUACCGGAUACGACCUCCGACCGCAUGGUCUGGUGGUGGAAAGCUCCGGCGGUGAAGGAUGAGCCCGCGGCCUAUCAGCUUGUUGGUGGGGUGAUGGCCUACCAAGGCGACGACGGGUAGCCGGCCUGAGAGGGCGACCGGCCACACUGGGACUGAGACACGGCCCAGACUCCUACGGGAGGCAGCAGUGGGGAAUAUUGCACAAUGGGCGAAAGCCUGAUGCAGCGACGCCGCGUGAGGGAUGACGGCCUUCGGGUUGUAAACCUCUUUCAGCAGGGAAGAAGCGAGAGUGACGGUACCUGCAGAAGAAGCGCCGGCUAACUACGUGCCAGCAGCCGCGGUAAUACGUAGGGCGCAAGCGUUGUCCGGAAUUAUUGGGCGUAAAGAGCUCGUAGGCGGCUUGUCGCGUCGGAUGUGAAAGCCCGGGGCUUAACCCCGGGUCUGCAUUCGAUACGGGCAGGCUAGAGUUCGGUAGGGGAGAUCGGAAUUCCUGGUGUAGCGGUGAAAUGCGCAGAUAUCAGGAGGAACACCGGUGGCGAAGGCGGAUCUCUGGGCCGAUACUGACGCUGAGGAGCGAAAGCGUGGGGAGCGAACAGGAUUAGAUACCCUGGUAGUCCACGCCGUAAACGUUGGGAACUAGGUGUGGGCGACAUUCCACGUCGUCCGUGCCGCAGCUAACGCAUU